CCGCUCCCGCCCCUCCUGUCCUGCCCCGCAUCCAGCCAUGCCGUUCUCGGCGCCGCCGCCCACCAGCGUACUGCUGUUGAAUUGGUAAAUGGAUACAGAAGCCAGGAUUUACUUACUCAUUACUCACAACUGUUCUGGCGACAUCACUGUUUAUUGGAUCAGUGAUUCAUUACACAUCUGCAAGAAUGCUGCUGCUGAGGUGUUUCUCCUUUUUCAGCAACAGAAGGCACUCCUGAACUGGAGUUUCUACAGCCUCAGACUGUGGUCAAGUUUUGUUGUUUGCCAGAUGAGGUCCUGCUUUGCACCUGUGGAAAACAGUACAUUCGUAUCUCACCAAGUGGAUUGCUCCACAAUCCAACAGAACCCAAGUCCUUUGGGAUUAUUUUGAGUUUAAAGUAGUUCUGUUUACCAUUUUACACAUCUUCCUUAUGUCAGCAAGAGUAUACUUUCAGAGUGCACAGUGUUAGCAGCUCAGUUUUAUUGUCUUCCAUGCCAAUCUUCUGUU